rnacentral:misc_RNA from 1 species
AACUUUUGGCAAUCGAUCUCUUGGUUCUGGCAUCGAUGAAGAACGCAGCGAAAUGCGAUAAGUAGUGUGAAUUGCAGAAUUCAGUGAAUCAUCGAAUCUUUGAACGCACAUUGCGCCCGCCAGUAUUCUGGCGGGCAUGCCUGUCCGAGCGUCAUUUCAACCCUCGAACCCCUCCGGGGGGUCGGCGUUGGGGAUCGGCCCUCCCUCGCAGGGAGUCGUCUCCGAAAUACAGUGGCGGUCUCGCCGCAGCCUCUCCUGCGCAGUAGUUUGCACACUCGCACCGGGAGCGCGGCGCGUCCACAGCCGUUAAACACCCAACUUCUGAAAUGUUGACCUCGGAUCAGGUAGGAAUACCCGCUGAACUUAAGCAUAUCAAUAAGCGGAGGCU